rnacentral:tRNA from 1 species
GGUGGUUUCGUAUAGUGGUUAGUACAACACGUUGUGGUCCAAUCCAAAUUCCGUGUAAACCUGGGUUCGAUUCCCAGAACUGCCA